UGCAGUCGAGCGGAUGAAGGGAGCUUGCUCCUGGAUUCAGCGGCGGACGGGUGAGUAAUGCCUAGGAAUCUGCCUGGUAGUGGGGGAUAACGUCCGGAAACGGGCGCUAAUACCGCAUACGUCCUGAGGGAGAAAGUGGGGGAUCUUCGGACCUCACGCUAUCAGAUGAGCCUAGGUCGGAUUAGCUAGUUGGUGGGGUAAAGGCCUACCAAGGCGACGAUCCGUAACUGGUCUGAGAGGAUGAUCAGUCACACUGGAACUGAGACACGGUCCAGACUCCUACGGGAGGCAGCAGUGGGGAAUAUUGGACAAUGGGCGAAAGCCUGAUCCAGCCAUGCCGCGUGUGUGAAGAAGGUCUUCGGAUUGUAAAGCACUUUAAGUUGGGAGGAAGGGCAGUAAGUUAAUACCUUGCUGUUUUGACGUUACCAACAGAAUAAGCACCGGCUAACUUCGUGCCAGCAGCCGCGGUAAUACGAAGGGUGCAAGCGUUAAUCGGAAUUACUGGGCGUAAAGCGCGCGUAGGUGGUUCAGCAAGUUGGAUGUGAAAUCCCCGGGCUCAACCUGGGAACUGCAUCCAAAACUACUGAGCUAGAGUACGGUAGAGGGUGGUGGAAUUUCCUGUGUAGCGGUGAAAUGCGUAGAUAUAGGAAGGAACACCAGUGGCGAAGGCGACCACCUGGACUGAUACUGACACUGAGGUGCGAAAGCGUGGGGAGCAAACAGGAUUAGAUACCCUGGUAGUCCACGCCGUAAACGAUGUCGACUAGCCGUUGGGAUCCUUGAGAUCUUAGUGGCGCAGCUAACGCGAUAAGUCGACCGCCUGGGGAGUACGGCCGCAAGGUUAAAACUCAAAUGAAUUGACGGGGGCCCGCACAAGCGGUGGAACAUGUGGUUUAAUUCGAAGCAACGCGAAGAACCUUACCUGGCCUUGACAUGCUGAGAACUUUCCAAAGAUGGAUUGGUGCCUUCGGAA
rnacentral:rRNA from 1 species